CCCAUCAGUAGGUUCAUCUGUGGUCAUCCCUGUCAAAAGUGGAGUAAGGGUAUGUGCUUCUUCAUCAAGCAAGUUGUUGUUCACCUUGCUGUAAAAACAAUCAAAAGGUGGGGAAGAAGAAAGAAAAACAACAAAAAAAAUAAUAUUCAGUUAACAAAAGAAUAAUUUUAUUUAUUAUUAUUUUUUUUUUAUAGGAGUUAACAAAAGAAUAAUGAGAUCUAAUAUUCUGUAUCUAGACAAAGAAUAACAAAAUAUCACGGACUAACUUAUAAAUGCCUUCAAAAACAAGCGAGUUGCACUGCAAAGCAUGUUUUAGUAAAAUUAAAUAUUAAGUUUGGUUUUGGUUUUGGUUCUGGUUUUUGAACCAGAACCAGAACCAGAACCAGAACCAGAACCCAAACCAAAAUCAAAUGGUUCUCGGUUCAAAGAACCAAAACCAUUAAUUGAAUACAAUUUAUUAAUCAAUUUUGGUUCAUUAGAGAUAAACAACUCAUUAGUUGUCUACACUCUAAUUUUAUAUUCAAUUGAAUUAUUUCUCCUUCACUCAUUUUCAAUUUACACUACACAGCAUACUAGUACCACAUUUCAUCAAGUCAGUGGAGUGUCAUUUAAGAUUGAAAAAUGAAAUUGGUUAAUUACUUGAAAAGUUUCUAAACUCUUUUUUUACUUUGAUUGUUUGAUGAAUUAUUUGUGUUCUUCAUAAAUGAAGGAAAACCAAUAAACAUUCAUGAAAUAUUAAACGAUUAAUGUUGCUUGUAGAAGUGGACUUUAAAAAUUUUGAUAAUUCAUUCUUUAAUACAGGGGUGUGCCUUCAAAACUACUGCAAUUAAUUUAAUGAAUCAUUGCUAUUACUUAUUAAACAAUUUUUUGUAUGAAAACGAAAACUGAUUUGUGUAUUCAAAUUAUGAAUAUAUUUUGUUUGUUAGUUAUUGACUUUUUUGAUCUCGAUGAUUGAAAUUUGAACUUCCUAAAUGUUUGAUGUUUAAAUUCUUAUUUAAGUAUACAUUACUAAUUUAUAUGAUGCAAAAUCUAAAAAUUAAAGAAAUGAAAUUAGAACCAAACAAGAACCGAACGGUUCGGUUUCAUAUCUCUUAAAAAAACCAUUUGGUUCCAUUAUUAAAAAAAUCGUUGGUAUUCGAUUUGGUUCUCUAGGAACCAGAACUAUAUGGAACCAUGUCCACCCCUAUUUUAAAGUCAAUUACUGAAGGUCAUCUUCAUUAUUAUGGAAAUAUCAAUUUUUUAUUUUAUUUUAUUUUUUUUUCCAUUUAGAACUAAAGAACGUAUUGCAAUAAACAGAGACGUGGCAGAAUGAAAUGAUAAAAUGGCAUGCAAGCACGUGGAUGACAAUGACUAAAUGCAUAGAGAUGUUAACACGAACAUAGAGUAAUCCCGAAGACAAAAAUGUAUGCCCCAAUUAAGUAAAAAUGUGUCUCAAAUGUGCUACAUAAAGAUGUUAAGAAAAAGACACUUACUCGCAUGUUCGCGUAUUAUGGCCCAGGCCCUUGCACCUGCGACACUGGAGCUGGCGUUUAAUGCUGUCCAUAAGUUCAACUGGUUUAACCUUUGGUUUAACUCGUCGUUUAGUAGGAGGAGGAGUAACAAAAACUUCACUUUUUUCUGGUUUCUCCACGUUUGGUAUUGGGUUGAUUGACUCCAUGUAAGUUAAGCGGUAAGUGUCAGUCAUGAAAUAUCUGGAGCAAUAAUCAUAUGGGGUCCUACCAACGCAUUCAAAAACAGCAAUAGCAUGGGAGCAAGGUAAUCCAGUAAGCUGCCAUCCUUUACAACUACAGUCCCAUUUAUCGACAUCAACCAAGUCAACAACAGAUUCACCACGAACCUCAAAUGUGCUAUUUCCAAUUGAUUGUAAUACUUGGAGAGAUUGUACUUUAGCUGUCUCAUUCUGAAGCUUUUCCUCCAUACAAGGUGUCAACCUCGUAACCCAAUGACUGGAUUCAAGUCGUCUUCUAUACAUCAAUUCCAUAAUCUUACCACGCAAUACAUCAACCAUCUGAGUUAUUGGAAACCCAUCCACCUCAGACACCCAACUAUAGAAUUGUUGACCAAAGUUGGAUGUCAUAUGGUUGUAUCUUGUACCGCCAAAAAAUGCAUUAGACCAGUGUUCUGGUUCACUCCCAAUUACCCAGUCAUAAGCUUCAGCUGAUAUAGCUUUUAUAUUUUCAAGACAGCGCUCAAAAGCCUCAAGUUUUGCUGAGUAAGCAGCAGCAUAUAAAUCUUGAACCAAGAGACGUCUUGCAUCAUGUGAAAGUCCUUUUACAUCUUUAUUAAGUUUUUCAGCAAGACAACGUAGACAAUAACCAUGAUAGCACUCUUUGCCAAAUAUAUCAAGCAAUGAUUCUCUUAUACCUUUCUGGAAAUCAGAGACAAAAGUAAUGUGUUCUGAUGUUGAAAAGGUAGAUUUCAGUUCUGACAGGAACCAAUGCCAGUUAUCCUCAGUUUCUUCGUCUACCACAGCAAAGGCAACAGGAAAGAAAUCAUCAUUCCCAUCUGCAGCUGUUGCUGCUAAUAAUAUUCCUUGAUAUUUUGAGUAAAGAAGAGUGCUAUCAAGGAAAAUAAGAGGACGGCAUUGAUGAAAACCAGAUAUCGAGGCAUGAAAUGAAACAAAAAGACGAUGAAAGCUUGAGUCCUCCCUAGUGGUUAGUGUAGCAAGGCUACCUGGGUUAGUCUCCAUUAUCUUCUCACAGAAAAAUGGUAAGUGAGAGUAUGCCUCUUCAUAAGAGCCCUGAAGCUGCUCCCGUGCAAACUCUUUUGCUCGCCUUGCCUGACUAUAGUUCAACUGAAUGCCAUAAUCACGCUCAAUUUCUUUGGCAAUAUCCUUUGGCUUGUAAUUUGGAGAAACUUUCAAUUUUUCCUUUAUAAUACUCCCUAUCCAUCCCUUAGUUGCCUGUCUAGCUUUUAUGGUAGCUCCUCCGCAUGUAUGCUCAGCAUUCAUAAUCUUAAUACAUAUAAGUUGGGUAGCAGCCACCCUUGAUGCAUAUAUACGCCAUGGACAGCCUUCCAUUUUGCACUUGGCAGUUACACGAUGGUUGUCAUUUUUCUUAUAUUUGUAAUCAAAUCCAUGAGCAAUCGAGUAUUUAUGCAGUGCUUCACGGAAUUCAGCAAAGCUAUUAAAUCUUUGGUCCACACCAGUGAUGAUGUUCUCCCACUGGGUUGCUGCUCUCCGAUGCUUCUCAUCAUUGCUAAAUGGAGUUACUUUGAGUGGUAAGCUUUCAAUAGGCUCGUUCAAAACUAUUGCAUCAUCAUCUUGCAUAAUAUCCAUAGGGUCAUCAGAAGGAAUCACUGCCUCUGACACAGUUGUUCUGCUUGAUCUGCAUAAAAAGCAGAUAAUAAGUUUUUAAGCAUUCAAAGGAAGUUUUUGUGGCCCGUUGGUAUCACAAGUGCUAACUCAGUUUGCUCAAGUCCCAGUGCCCAAAACAACCAUGCUGGAAGACAUACUGUAUAAAAUGUGUGUCAUUUUCCUUCACAUGAAAACAGCAUUGACAACAUAGUAGAUCACACAUCUAGAGCUUUGGUGACAGUAGUUUUUAGACCUUCUCCUAGUGAUUGAAGUUUUACCAGUUAGACUGCUUCGAAGUUUCAGUGUAGAAAUUUUUGGAACUUAUAUUUAGAGCACAAACACAUUAGUGUUCACUUCAGCCUCCCACAAUUUUCCUUAUCCUUUCAAUCUCUUUAUUGUCUUAUUGGUUAAAUCUGUUUUCUCAUCAGUUUGGGUCGUACCUUUUAUUAUUAGUAUAAACUACACUCCACCCUGGAGGUAGUAUAAAAGGGUCGAUGCUUCUUCACAUAUUAAAAAUUAACAAUCAAUAAGAAACCAGUGCGCCACUUCUUACUCUAGUUGCAGGCAAAAUCAAAGAGGUUGGUUCAUGCUAACGAUAGAUUAUAAGGGAUGGUACAAGUACCUACUAGCAGGCAUGUUAGGCACAUUCUGAGGACAAGCUACAAAGACCUCAACUUGGUCAGAAUCCUUGAAGAAGUUGAGCAUACGCUGGAGGUCCUUAUUUUUUGAUAUGGUAAUCAGGGUCUUUCUGUUUCCAGGAAGAAAAUACUUUAUUGUCAUGCCAUCAACAUUGCAUUGAAAAUUCUCAGACAGUUCUUGCUUGAAAUCUUUCAACUGUGUCUUCUCAUCAAUGCUCAGAGCAUAAGCUUCCCCACCAGUGUAAGACAACAAUCCAUUAUCUUUGUUGGCCACAAAUUCACCUCCAGAUUGGCAUAUGGCUAUGAUUUUCUUAGUUUCCAUGAGCAAAGGACAAACGGAUACAGUAAAACUUACGCAGAUAGAUUGGAUCAAAUAUAAGUGCCCCCCGGAUAAUUCAAGCAACAAUUGUUUAAGGGAGAUCAAACCUACAAUCACAGGUUAAAGCAAAAAAUAAUGAACAACUAUUAGAAACACAACCAAAGUUCUAUACUUACCAGAACCCCAAGUGUAAAACAAUCCCCAAAUCUACAGUGGUCCAUAAGAAGCCAACAGAUAAAUAAAUAAUUAAAAACCCAAAAGAAAUUUGAGUAAAAUAUUACAAAUUGACUAGCAAAACUUAUACUUUCCCCACAAGUAGUAUGCAAGAUUCGUGCAAAAUAUUUAAUUAAUUUCAUGAUUAGUUUUUUAUUUUCAAAUUAAUGAUUACAAUUGAUGAAUUCAAACAAUUGAAGUCUAUGGUAAUAUGGCUUGCAGAAUAAAAAUCUUAGAAACACAACAAUCUUCUAAAUUUACCAGAAACCCUAUGCGUAAGAAAUCCCCAUAUCUAUAGUUGACCAUAAGAACCGAACAUAUGAAUAUAAAUAAUUAAAACCCAUAAAAAAUUCCAGUAAAAUAUUAAAAAUUAACUCGCAAAACUUAAAUUUGUCCCCACAGAGCAGAAUACAAGAUAUAUGCAAAAUCUUCAAUUAUUCACAAUGACUUAUUCUUUUUUGCAAAAAAUAAAAAUAAAAAUAAAUAAAAAAAAGUCAUUACCUCUAACGUGAUGAAUUAACAGUAGAUUUCCAUGAAGUAAAAUUAAGCUAAAAGUUUUUCAAUUUGGAGGGGUUGUGUCCAAUAUAUAUGCCGCAACACAUGAACCAACGAAAGUAGGGGGGAGAGAAAGAAAGAGAGACGCGGACCCUAUAUAGAACAUCUUCAACACCUUGGGACUAGUAUAAUUGGGCCUGUGUUUCGGCCCAUUAUGGAUGGUGUUGGGCCUAGCAGCUAAUUUAAUAAAAAUGAAAUAAGUGGAAAUUACAUAAUUGGAUAUGUUUAAAGAUAACAAUACAAAAAUUAGGGAUGAAGUUUCAUUAUUCACAAAUUAGGUCCUCAUCUAUGAAAAAUCCUAAUUUAUUUCCAUAAUUAUCUCUCUCCCUCCACCAUCUCUCUCCUGUUUAUAAGCUCAUCACCUCCCCCAUUCUCUCUGUACAAAUACAACAAUUAGGAAUUCCUCAUCUUUUAGUCAUCACCAAGUAUCAUCACCUACCCUCAAUCCAUAUCACCCCAAAAGGAGAGCGAAUCACCACGAGUUGCGGCGUCCUUCCUUUUAAAAAAAAUUGAGUGUAGUGACUGACGGUUUGGAGGUGGAGGUGUGCAGUGCGGUGAUGGUGGAGCUGUCAGGUGUGCGUCGCAGUGGUGACGUGCUACUGUGGUGCGGUGGAGUAGAGGUGUGCAAUACGGUGGCGAUGAUAGUGCUACAAAUGCAAUGGUGGUGUGGUGGUUGGGUACGUAUAGUACUGUUGUUUUCGUUUUUCGAAUCUGUUGUACAGAACAGAUUUUCCAUGAAUGACUUGCUAAACCAGAUGAACAAUUGCAAAACAAUAAAAAUAGAAUAUCAUUUUCUGAAAAUGAAUUGCACAGAAUAAAACAGAAGAAUAAAGAAGUCCAGAAUUCGGAAUGAGGAUGAUCGAGGCGAGAACUAGGCUCUCUAUCCUUAAGACGUUUUUACCCCGUCACACGGUGCUUACAGUAUGUGGUAAAGCGUCUCCCAAGAUACAACAAUUAGAUACUUGCAGAAGCAGCACUUCGACUGCAAGACAACGAAUCAGAACGGAAGUACUCUCUGUAGACUAUUGUAGAGAAGAAGAGUGUGUAUGUAGAAUGAUUUCAUGAUGUUUCUGUGUGUGUUUAAAAUUGAAAGCUUGAGGACCAUUCAAAUAGAGGAGAGAGUUGACGGUUGAGCAAUUUCCAUCCACCACUCACGCCCACUUAACGCACAGUUUUAGCAAACUGAUGGGUCGCUUAAUAAACUAUCAAAUGGAGGGAAUUAAUUGAAUUUAAAACAAAAAUUUAAUUAAUAUUAACACAGGCCCACACCCACGACCCGACCGGCGACGACGCGCGUGUGUGGUUUUUGGAUUAGUUUAGACAUUGUCUAAGACUCCCCCCUUUCAAACACUAUUGGUAUCCCUUGGGGUUCAAACCCAUAUCCAAACUUGAAAUUUAUUGAGUGGUUUAAGGUUGUGUUUGCAACCUAUGUGAGAUUGGAACAUUUUUCCAAUUCUUUCCCAUUUAUUUCUCUUAUAUUGUCCAACUUUCAACCAUAAUUUCUCAUUCAUAUUGAAGUGGUUUUUCACAAUUAAAUAUUCUACACUCAUCUACUUGGAACUUAGAAUUUAAUUGAACAUUAAUUUCGAUACAUCGAACAUCGGGUCCCACUUAAAAUUGUGGUCAAAGUUGACCCAAUUGACCCACAAUUUCCAACAAUCCUCCACAUGAAUGGAAAUUAUCAUGACUAUGCAAUGCAGACACGAACAAAGAGUACAUGCGAAAGACUUAUUGCUUCAAGAGAGGUUGCUUUUGGCUUUGAACCUGCCUUAGUGGAAUACUAUCGAGUUUACUUCGCUAAUCAGUGAACUGAUGUCUUGAAUUGUUCAGCCGUUAGUGUAAACCAAGGCAAUAGUAUCCACACAAUAACCUUUCUAUUCAAUUCUUAGGUUCUCAUAGUUGUGUUCAUUUUGGCCCUGAACAAUUCUUGGGAUUCAUAAGUGUUUUAGAGAAUUUUAAGCCCCAAAUUCUCAUGGAAGCCGCCCCACUUCACACUUAUAUAGGUGAUUUCCUAUUGAGAGUAUUCUGCUAUACCCCACUUGGUUUAUCCAAGUUAUAGGCAUCAUUAAAAGUUACAACUUAGCCUUUUACUUUCCGCAGACAGCACUUUUUAUAAAGGGAUGGUUAAGUGCUUAACUGAGUCUUAAUAACUUAGUUGUCCCAUUGAACCAAGAUCUUGGGAUCUCCAGUCAACAAGGUUGGGUUACCAUCAUCAAGAGUCAUGCAUGUUCGGCUUUAAUCUCAUUCCCUUUGAUAGAUAAUAUACUUGAUCUCUUGAUAGACCUUUUGUACGCGGAUUCGCGAGAUUCUCCUUUGAUUUCACAUAAUCAAUGGAGAUAAUACCAUUUGAGAUCAACUGCUUUAUGGUAUUGUGUCUACGACGUAUAUGUCUAGACUUACCAUUAUACAUGCAAUUUUGUGCCCUUGCAAUAGCAGACUGAUUGUCACAGUGAAUACUAAUUGCAGGUACCGACUUAGGCCAACACGGGAUAUCCUCUAAGAAGUUACGAAGCCAUUCUGCUUCCUCUCCAGCUUUAUCCAAUGCAUUAAACUCUGAUUUCAUUGUUGAUCGAGCUAUGCAAGUUUGCUUUGAGGAUUUCCAAGACACUGCCGCACCACCAAGUGUAAAUAUAUAACCACUUGUGGAUUUAGAAUCUUUCAUAUCAGAUAUCCAAUUUGCAUCACAAUAUCUUUUUAAUACUGCUGGAUAUCUCAUAUAAUGUAAUCCAAAUUUUAAGGUAUGUUUUAAGUAUCGAAGUACCCUAUUCAAUGCCUUCCAGUGAUCAUUGCUUGGAUUACAUGUGAACCUACUCAAUUUAUUAACUGCGAAAGCAAUGUCAUGACGUGUGCAGUUCAUUAAAUAUAUCAGACUUCCAAUAACCUGAGAAUAUCUUAAUUGAUGUACAGGUUCACUUCUAUUUUUUGCUAAGUGUAGACUCGUGUCUAUCGGAGUUUUGACUGGACUUUCAUCAACGACUCCAAAUCUCUUUAGCACAGACUCAACAUAAUGAGAUUGUGAAAGAACGAGGCCAUUUGGUGUUUUAGAAAUUUUAAUUCCAAGAAUUACAUCCGCUACACUCAUGUCCUUAAUGUCAAAAUAUUUUGUUAGCAUUUUCUUAGUGGAGACAAUGAUAUCAUGAUUGCUACCCAGAAUUAGCAUAUCAUCCACAUAUAAACAUACUAAGACAUAUGCUGUCGGCGUACUGUUAUUAUACACACAUUUAUCACACUCGUUAAUUAUAAAACCAUUUGACAGCAUUGUUUUGUCAAACUUUUGGUGCCACUGCUUUGGCGCCUGUUUUAGUCCAUAUAAAGAUUUAACAAGUCUGCAAACCUUUUUCUCUUGUCCAUGAGCGACAAAUCCUUCAGGUUGCUCCAUGUAUAUUUUUUCUUCCAACUCACCAUUUAAAAAAGCUGUUUUAACAUCCAUUUGAUGAAUUUCGAGAUUAUGUAUCGCAACAAUUGCAAUAAGGAUUCUUAUCGAAGUAAUCCUCGUUACUCGUGAGCAAGUAUUAAAGAAAUCAAGACCUUCCUUUUGUCUAUAUCAUUUUGCUACCAAACAAGCUUUGUAUUUAUCAAUAGAUCCAUCAAAUUUUGACUUUUUCUUAAAAAUCCACUUGCAACCUAGAGGUUUAUUUUCAGGUGGGAGAUCAACCAACUCCCAAGUAUGAUUUUACAUUAUCGAUUCAAUUUCACUAUUGAUGGCUUCUUUCCAAAAAGGAGCCUCUGGUGUUGACAUUGCUUCACGAAUGUCUUUGGUUCAUUUUUGAUCAUGUACGUUAUAAAUUCUAAACCGAAGGACGAAGACUUUCUAUCCCUUUUACCGUGUCUGAGUUCUUCUUCAUUUUCAUCAUCAUUCGCAGUAUCGUAAGUUCGUUUUGUUGAACUUACAUCACUUUUGUCUUUACGAGGAAAGACAUCUUCGAAGAAACUUGCAUUCCUCGAUUCAAUUAUUGUAUCUUCAUGUAUAUCCAUAAUCUCGGAUUUAUGCACAAGAAAGCGAUAUGCACUACUAUUAUGAGCAUAUCCAACAAAUAUGCAAUCUACAGUUUUUGGUCCUAUUUUUAUUUUUUUAGGUUUUGGCACUUCUACCUUUGCUAAACACCCCCACACUUUCAAGUAUUUAUAUGAAAGUUUAUGACCUAUCCAUAAUUCGUAAGGUGUUUCAUCCUUUACUUUGUGUGGUAUUUUGUUAAGAAUGUGAUUUGCCGAGAGGAUAGCCUCCCCCCAAAAAUUCUGUGGUAGGCCAGAACUAAUCAACAUAGCAUUUAUCAUUUCUUUAAGCGUGUGGUUCUUUCAUUCCGCAAUACCAUUAGAUUGAGGUGAAUAAGGAGCCGUUGUUUGAUGAAUGAUGCCUUGUUGAGAAUAAAAUUUUUCAAACGGCGCUCCAUAUUCUCCACCUCUAUCACUUCAAACAAUUUUUAUUGUUUUGCUAAGUUGAUUUUCAACUUCAUUCUUAUAAUGUUUAAACAUUUCCAAAGCCUCAUCUUUGCUUUUUAAUAGAUAAACAUAACAGUACCGAGUGUAAUCGUCAAUGAAAGUAAUGAAAUACUUUUUCCCACCUUUAGUUUGUACGAAUUUCAAAUCACAUAGAUCGCUAUGAAUUAAUUCUAAAAGUAAAAUAUUUCUAUCAACUGAAGGAAAUGGUCUGUUGGCUAACUUAGCCUCAACACAAGUUUCACAUUUGUUAUUCGGAUCGAAACUUAGAGAAGGUAGCAAAUUUAAUUUCAUUAAUUUGCGCACAGAUUUAAAGUUUGCAUGUUCUAAUCUUUUAUGUCAUAAACAAGAAGAAUCAACAAUAUACGCAGAAGUAGAAGCUUCAUUAAUGUUGUUCAAUUUAGGUACAACAGUAAGAACGCUAAUCUUGAACAUCCCAUCGGUCAUGUAACCUUUUCCAACGUACAUCCCAUUUUUAGUUAGUACAAAUUUGUCAGAUACAAAUACUAACUUAAAUCCAUUAUUGCUAAGAAAAGAACCAGAAAUAAGAUUUUUCCGAAUGUCCGGCACAUGCAGCAAAUUGUUGAGGAUGAGUUCUUUGCCAGAUGUCAUCUUCAAGGUCAUCUUUCCUUGUCCUUCAACAGUUGUUCUCCAUUGCUAAUUUUGUAAUCAGAAAACACAUUCUUUUCAGCACAAAUGUGGCAAGUGGCACCAGUGUCCACCCACCAUUCCCUGGGAUUUCCAACACUAUUACAUUCAGAUAUUACAGCAGAUAGGUGCAUUUCUUGAACACCUUCAGACAGAUUUUCAGUUUCAACAACAUGUGCACGAUCAUUUUGCUUUUUAGGCUUGCGACAGUCAAUUGCACGAUGUCCAGGUUUGCCACAGUUAAAGCAGUCCCCUUUGAACUUCUUGUUCUUCUGGUUGUUUUCUUUUUUCUUCGGAGCAAAGUUUGAGUGCUUCCUUUUCAUGUUCUUCUUUGAACAUGAUUCAACCAUGUUUGCCUUAGCUUCCAUGCUUGGUCCCCCGUUCCUCCUUUUAGAUUUCUUAGUAUCUUCUUCGAUCCUCAAACGCACAAUCAACUCCUCCAUGUUCAUUUCCUUACGUUUGUGUUUGAGGUAAUUUUUGAAAUCUCUCCAUGAAGGCGGGAGUUUUUCAAUUACCGCUGCUACUUGGAAUGACUCACUUACAGUCAUUUUUUCAGCAUGUAAAUCAUGGAGGAGUGCCUGCAAAUAUUGAACUUGGGAAAUAAUAGAUUUAGAGUUAAUCAUUUUAUAUUCCAAAAAUUUUUCGACAAGAAAUUUUUUAGAUCCAACAUCUUCAAUUUUAUAUUUUUUUCUCUAAAGAUUCCCAUAGUUCUUUUGCAGUUUUCAUUAUACUAUAUACACAAUAUACCGAAUCAUUCAGUCCAUUCAGUACAUAAUUUUUGCACAAGAAAUCGGAAUGUUUCCAUGCAUCCAAGGCAAUAAUCGAAACUCGAUUAUUUUCUCCUUGUUGAAUAGUAGGAGGAUCCUCCAUGAGAAACUUUGUCAAGUUCAGAGUGGUGAGAUAGAACAGCAUUUUCUGCUGCCAUCUCUUAAAAUCAACCCCAUUAAAUUUUUCAGGUUUCUCUCCGUGAGAAACAUGAGUUGAACCAAAAGGACCAGACAUUGUCGGCAUUACAGUAGCCACCGUUGGCGUCACAGCCACAGCAGGGGAAAUUGCAUUGAUCCCAACACUGUUAGCCAUUUUUGUUUUCAAAAUAGAAGAUCAACCCGUCAUAAUUUACAAAUUAAAAUUCUGCAGAAUAGUAAUUUCGCAUAAGAGUCGGCAAAGGUUAGAAAUAAGCAAGUACAAUUUUGAAAAAUAAUUUAUAAAAAUGUCUUAAAAUUGUUGUUUUCGUUUUUUGAAUUUGUUGUACAGAACAGAUUUUCCAUGAAUGACUUGCUAAACCAGAUGAACAAUUGUAAAACAGUAAAAAUAGAAUAUCAUUUUCUGAAAAUGAAUUGCACAGAAUAAAAUAGAAGCAUAAAGAAGUCCAGAAUUCGGAAUGAGGAUGAUCGAGGCGAGAACUGGGCUCUCUAUCCUUAAGACAUUUUUACCCUGUCACACGGUGCUUACGGUAUGUGGUAAAGCAUCUCCCAAGAUACAACGAUCAGAUAUUUGCAGAAGCAGCACUUCGACUGCAAGACAACGAACCAGAACGGAAGUACUCUCUGUAGACUAUUGCAGAGAAGAAGAGUAUGUAUGCAGAAUGACUUCGUGAUGUUUCUGUGUGUGUUUAAAAUUGAAAGCCUGAGGACCAUUCAAAUAGAGAAGAGAGUUGACGGCUGAGCAGUUUCCAUCCACCACUCACGCCCACUUAACGCACAGUUUUAGCAAACUGAUGGGUCGAUUAAUAAACUAUCAAAGGGAGGGAAUUAAUUGAAUUAAAAAAAUUAAUUAAUAUUAACACAGGCCCACACCCACGACCUGAUCGGCCGGUCGGAUGGACGACGGCGGUGCGCGCGCGCGGGGCCUUUGGAUUAGUCUAGACAUUGUCUAAGACUCCCCCCUUUCAAAGACUAUUGGUACUCCUUGGGGCCCAAACCCAUAUCCAAACUUGAAGUUUAUUAAGUGGCUCAAGGUUGUAUUUGUAACCUAUGUGGGAUUGGAACAUUUUUCCAAUUUUUUCCCAUUUAUUCCUCUUAUUUAUUGUCCAACUUUCAACCAUAAUUUUUCAUUCAUAUUGAAGUGAUUUUUCACAAUUAAAUAUUCUACACUCAUCUACUAGGAACGUAGAAUUUAAUUGAAUAUCAAUUUCGAUACAUCGAACAUCGGGUCCCACUUAAAAUUGUGGUCAAAGUUGACCCAAUUGACCCACCAUUUCCAAAAAGUACAUGGUGUGGUACUAUGUACGGUGGCGGCUCUGACAUGUGCGGUGGUGUUGACUGAUUGUCGUGAUGUGAUAGGUGUGACGUUGACAGUGGUGGUGCGAUGUUGGGUAGUGGCGGCGGCAUUUUUUUGGUUGUUGGAGUGGUGGUGGUCAUUGUGUUUUGGUUGUGUUGGGGAUUUUGUUGGUAGUGGAACUAGCAGCGGCGGUGGUUUUGGCGGCGUGAUGGUGGUCGACGGUUGUGUGGUACAGGAGAGACGAUUGUGUUUUGGUGGUAGCUUUUUUUGUUGUUGGUGGUGGUCGUAAUGGUGUUGUGGCGAGGACGAGGUGCAAUAGUAAUUGUGACCAACUAUUUGGUUGUUUUGUGUUCAAGUAUUGGUGGUGGAUUGAGAUCAAUGAUGGGGUGUGUGUGACCAAUGUGUUGAGAUUUGAAGUUCCAUCUUUAAAUGUCAACCUUACUAAGAGAAGUAACACAAUCUUUUAGAAGUUGGUUUAUGUUUUCAUCUUUAAUUGAUGUGGGACUUUUAUCUCUUAACAUACUUCCGCAAGAUAAUAGUUCAAUUGAGCAUACCAACCUUGAAAUUCGUAUGCUCAUUUAUUGAAUCGAAUUGCUUGUUGGAGUUUAAUGAGCUCUGAUACCACGUAAAGACUUGGGAUUCCAUCUUAAAAAGUCAACUUUGUUAAGAGGAAUAGCGUAAUCUUUUAUAACUUGAUCUAUAUUUUCAUCUUUAUUUGAUGUGAGAUUAUAUCCCUUAACACAGUGAUUUGGUUCUUUGUGACUAUCUAUUAAAUCGUGACCUUAAAAUUCGAUAAUUUAUGACUACAAAAUAAUGUGACCAACAAUUUUGAAAAAUGUGACUGAUAGAAAAAUUAUGAUCUAUAAUUUUUUUUUGGUCUGUGACCUAUAAAAUCUUUAAGGGAAAAUUGCAACAACGGUCCCAAACCUUUCACAUUUUUGCAGAUUUUACCUUAAUCUUUAUUUUGUACCAUCCACGGUUCCAAACCUUUCAAAAAUAUGCACUGGGGGUCCAAAUUGAUGAAAAUCGUCCAUUUGACUAUUAGUUGACUAAGAAUUUUAGACUUUGACCAAAUUGAAAAUGGUAAAUUAGUAUAUUUAGAAUUAACAGUUUUUUAACAUUAUUAACAAUUAAACUAAAAAAAGAAAAGAAAAAAGAAAGCCCACUAUCAAAUUGAAAAUGGUAAAUUAGUAUAUUUAGAAUUAACAGUUUUUUAACAUUAUUAACAAUUAAACUAAAAAAAGAAAAAAAGAAAGAAAGCCCACUAUCUCCAUCUUCUUCCCUGCCUCCACCCCUACCCCCAACCCACCAUAAUCUGAAGCCGUCGACCGCCACCACUAGACCCACGGCCACACAAAAACCAAAGCCACCUCCACUAAAUCAAACCAUCACCUUCCACUUCUAUUCCUUCCAAAGCCGCCGACCAAUUUUGUGAUUUCUUAGCAAGAUCCAAACCAAGAGCCAUGGAUUCACAGAGGGGAUUCUCUGCACCAAACAUAAGGACAGUGCUAUUUGGUUUCAACGAGGGAAAAGUGCAUCUCGAUUAUAGAAAUAGCUUGAUUUGCUUGGAGGGUUUCAAAUAAGGAAAGUGCAUCAUAUUGGUCAGUGCUUCGACCGAAUUUUCUAUGUUGCAGUCGCUAUGGAGAUGGUGGUGGUGGGAUUUUCCAACGGUAAUUUCUUGUAGACUUGAACUGAUUAAUUUGAGAUAGACGGGUUGUCCACCGAGUCGAUUGUGGGUUUGGUGGUGGCAGUCAGUGGCUUUGGAUUGUGUUUCGCCGGAUGUUGGUUGGGCGUGGGGUGGAGGUUAGGUUGGGUUCGUUUAGGUAGUGGUUGGUAGGUAGGGAAAUGGCAGUUUGGGCAGUGGUUGAAGGUUGUGGAAUGGUGGUGAUUUUGGGAGGUAGCUGAUUAGUUGUUGGCGUGUAGGCUGUGGUGAUGCCAACGGCUUUGAGAAGAAGAUGAAGUUUUGGUUUGGUUGAGGUGGGGAUUGGGUGUGGUCAUGGUGCCAACUAUCGAAAGAAGAAGAAGAAGAAUAUAUAUAUAUAUAGUUUAAUUGUUCUAAUAGUUAAUAACAUUUGGAAAAAUGCAAAUAUACCAGUUUACCCUUUCGAAUUUGAUCAAAGUUCAAUUUUCUUGGUCAACAAACGGUCAAAAAUUUCGUCCAUUUGGACCCCUGGUGCAUAUUUUUGAUAGGUUUGAAAACGUGGGUGACACAAAAUGAAUGUUAGGAUAAAGUCUACAAAAACGUGAAAGGUUUUGGACUGCUGCUGCAAUUUUUCCAAUUUUUAAUUUAUGACUUCAAAAUAAUCUGUGACAAAGUAAUUUGAUAAUAUGUGAGCAAUUAAUAAGUUACGAUCUAUAAUUAUGUAUAUGUGAUCAUUAAUUAUAUAAUUUUGAUCUUAUUAUAUUUAAUUAAUUAUUUAAUAUCGGAUUUUUGCAUUUUUUAAACUUAAAACUUCAUUUUUGAAUUGUCGAUACUUAAUACAUGACACGUGAAAUUUUCCCAUGAAAUAAUCUAGAAAAAGAAAGAAAAGUGUUAAAAGGAAAAAUAUUUUAGCCUUUUAAUUUCUUUUAUAUUUUUCCUUUAGUAAUUUUGACCUAAAACAUUGCUAAAUAGCUUCUUUAUUAUACAAAAACUUUCAUAUUGAUGGUGUCUUGUCUUCUUUCAACAAGACAAAUUUAACGAUCAUGGCAAAACUCAAUUUAAUCGUCGAAAAUGAUCAAAAGCAACUUGUUAAUAAAUUUUGAUUGCUCGAAUGAUUCUUCCACAUUUUUAAAUUAUAUAAAGGUCUGAAUCAACCCUUUUUUGGAAUGGAAAAAUCCAUAUUUCUAUCGAACACCAAAUUUAAAGUUGGACCAUAAUGUCACUUGUUUCGAACAAAAUUGUACUACAAAUUCAUUUGUAUAGCAUGUUAUUAGUGUUACUGUUGUUAUUGUUGUUGUUAUUAUUAGACCCCGUUUGGUAGUCAUUUUUUUCAAAAUGUAUUUUUCUCUCUUCUUUUCAACCACAUAUUCUUUAUUAAAAUAAUAUUACACGUAAAUCAAAAGAAUUUCCUUAUUUUUCAAUCACACAUUUCACAUCAUUUUACAAUUUUAAAAUACAUUUUUACAUAAAAAUGACUAUCAAACACCCCCUUAUUAUUAUCAUUAUCAUCAUCAUCAUCUGGUUUUUUUAUCAAACCAUGUGGCACAUGCACAAUUUUAUCAAAUGGGUGACGUUAAAUUUUGAACUUAGCCACUUUACCUACUUCAACACUAUGUUUAAGUGUUGGAUUUUUAACUUAAAAUGUCAACAUUGUUAAAAGAGAAACGUAAAUCUUUAUAUGUCGAUUACUAUUAAACUUUUAAAGAUUACAAUUCACAAUUUGUUAUAUCGCAGCGGAAAUAAAACUUUCGAAAAAUAUUUCAGUUCUAUCAAUUUCAAACUAUGGUCAUUCAUCAGCAAGUUUCGACUGUAUUUUUUUUUUCUUUACCAUGCAUAUUCCAUAAUCCAAAAAUCGCAAACUCUUCUUGUAUAACAAUUUUUCAUGUGUUUUAUUUGCAAAUCUUGAUUUUUUCGUUAUGUUCCAAAUUCCCAUGGCAUGGUCAAAUUAAAUUUAGGCCCACGAGGCGUGCACCUCAAAAUAGAUUUAGACCUCACGCUUCGCAUGACUCCACAAUAUGAAUGAUCAAUGAUGAUAAGCUCACCCUUCCUCAAAAGCCAAAAUAUAUCCGAAGAGGAAAUAAAGGUCGAAACAAUUCAAGGAGAUGGAAAAAUGAAAAUAUUGACAUGCAGUCUCAGUGUGGAGUUUAUUAUUUUGACCUAAUAGCUAUCGGGUAGCAUUUGACAGUAGUAAUCAUUAAACUCAUAAUUGUAAAGUUUGAAUGGAUCGAUUGAUCCAAUUAAUAUACUUGGACCAUUUAGUAGUCGAACGAGGGCUCGAUGGGAUGGCCAAAUUGGUUUUGAUAUCAAAACCGGUGAAAAUUGAUAAAUUAUUAUAAAUGUCGAAGAUUUUAUUAACAUUUUUUAUAAUAAGGAAUGCUAUUCCUUCACGUUGUAACACAUUGAACAUGUAAUGUACAUAUUUUAUAUAUGUCGAUGAGUAAAAUUGAUGUGAAAAUUUAGAUCAAUUUAAGAUGAAUUUAACAGGAUAAUUACUAGAAUAUUGUAAAUGGAAAGAAAUUCUUUGCAGAGAUGGUUUUGAGUUUAUUACAAAGAGUGAGUUUUGGCCUUAUUUAUAAGUCGUUAACCAAGUGUUUGCCAACCCUUAUCACAUCUAGCUACAGUAUCAACCUCGAGAUGUGAACCACUGUCCUGAUUAGAGAGUUUUGAUUGGUUGUUGAGUUUGACAAGUCAAACAUUAUUAUUUGCUUGUUUAAUGCUCAUUUUUUACCUGAAAAAAAUCAUUUUGGAAUAGUAAUUUGAAUGGAGAAUAUGUGUUUAAAAAAUAAGGAAAUUUUUGAAUUUGCAUAUUAUAUAUAUAUAUAUAUAUAUAUUUUAUUAAAGAAUGUAUGAUUGAAAAGAAGAAAGAGAAAAAUGUAUUUUUAAUAAAAUGGAAAUCAAACAAAGCUUAUACUUAGGACGUAACUCUUGUUUAGAUCAUGAUUAUCUACCGCAUAGGCAAUCAAAUCUCUCCUGUGAUUGAAUGGUGGAAAGGUGCUACAACAAGGUAACACUUAUUCUUUCGGGAGUGAUCAUUUUGGAGGUGAUAAUAUUGUUAGAAGACACAUGUUCAAGAGAAAGGCCCCUGGUACAGGGGCCCUAUAAUGGAGGGGGGUCGAGCUAGCAUUCUAUGAUGGGCUGGGGGCUUUAAUAGGCCCCCUAUAUUACAAAGCCCUGUAUUUGUAGUAGGGCCCAAUUUUCAAUGAGUAAUAACGAUGUUCAUAUAUGACAGCAACACAUGGUUGAGCUCGUUGGAUGAGCUUCUGAUCUGACCUUACAUACUAUAAUUUGAAAUUUUACUAUUUAAAACUGUAUAAUCUUAUUGGAAGUGAGUCAGAGAUUAUAUCGGUUCAAACACCGACAUGAUAUUUUCAUGUUAUGUAAUUAUUUAUUAAUAAAAAAUCAACGAAUAAAACUUUUGUUUUAUUUUAAAAAUAAAAAAGGAAUGUAAACUCAAAAAUUGACGUAAUUAAGCUCCUAAGGAUAAUAGUCAUUUUCAAUAAUAUUAAAAAAAUAAUAAUAAUAAAAAUAAAAAUAAAGGGAGACUUUCCGAGGUUCUAAAGAAGAACUGUUUCCGGGAAUUAGGGAACCCAAAAUCACAGAUAGGUUGAGGACCGAAGUCCUCACCUAUUCAAAAGUUAAGGAUUCUAAUAAUAAUCUUCCAGUUUUCAAAGGUGUUGCAUGAAAACAUAUUGAAAUUAUCCCUUUUUCUAAUUAAUUUUAAAUACACACUUUAAUAAUAUUGCUCAAGUAUUUACUAACGCCAAAAAGAUUGUUAAAAUGGGAGGAUUUAUCCAUUAUUUAUUAAUUGUUACAAUCAUUCCAGUCUUUUUCCAUAUUUUUCCAAAAUAGGUGCAUGAUUAGAUUAACGUAAAAAAAUACUUUAAAAUUUUGAUAAUUAAAUAAUAGUUUUCUUAUUAAAUAUUUUUAAUAUUUUUUCCUUUACCAAAAUAAAUAUUUUUCUCAUAUCCUGAAAAUUUUCAUUCUUGGCAGAAUUUUUGAACAAGUUCAUGAAGCUUAAAAACGUUAUUUUUGAUAAUAUUUAUAUCUACAAUGAUAUUUACGGCUGGGCAAAAAUCAAUUCAAAUCGCUUAAACCAAUCAACCCAAUCCAAACCGAUCGAUUUGGGUUGGUUUUCAAGUUCAAUUUGGGCUGGGUUGAGUUAGAAAAUCAAAUUUGAGGUCGAGUUGGUUAGAUCUUGGCUUAUGAAAGUUUCAUUAAUGUAAAAAUUAGGUUUUAACUAAUUAAUUAGAAAUAUUUAUUAAAUAAAGAUAAUAAAGUCACAACUAUUCGAUUAAUGGUUACAGAUUCAUAAUUAUAGGUCACAAAUUUAUUUAUAGGUCACAUAUCGUCAACUUAAUUGGUCAAAGAUUGUUUCAAGGUUACAAAUUUUUUUUUUUAUAGAUCACAGAUUAUUUCAAAACCACGGAUCAUUCAAAUUACAAGUUAUAUUUUAUCUACAAGUCACAUAGGUCACAAUUUCUUGGUCACAAAUAACAAAAUUGUUGGUCAUAUGCACUAAACAUCCAACUUUGAUACUGAUCGACCACUAAUUUUUGGUCACAGACGCCCAAAUAGUUGGUCACGGAUGUCUAAUUAUUGGUCACAAACCCCCACCCAUCACUACCACUGCAACCACCUUCGCCAUCAUCAUCAACAGCAAUACAACAAUAGUUGGACACUACCGCAUCCAGAACCACCAUCAUCUCACCAAGAUGAGCACCACCGUCUCCUGCCACCACCAUCAUUAGCAUCACCGUACCCGUAACACCACGACGCCCACAACACACCACCAUCGCACAUCGCACCGCCCACAGCACAACACAACACAACACCAAAACCACCACCACCAUCUCCUCUAUCUCCAUUUACAUCACACCCAACCACCAUCCCCACUAAGAAUCCAUAAACCGGCCACCACCACCAUUACCACAGCACACUAUCACCGCAUGCGCAACCAUCACCUCAAAAAGCAACAAAAAAGGUCCAAAAAUCACAAGAAAAACCAUUGCACAGCGCAGCAAAAUCAUGGUAGAAACCUCCGCUUGCGCAACCACCACCCCAAAAAUGCAAGAAAAAAUGUCGAAAAAUCACAAGAAAAACCUUUGCCCGCUCAACUAGCCAUGACAAUGCCGCGCAACGCCGCUAUGAAAGCUCACUUCGAUGCUCAUAGCUUUGAUUGGCGGUGUGGCUUCGAUUGGCAAGAUUGCUCAUAUCGCCAACUGCGACGGCGCCACACUGCAGCAACUAUGCCGCCGCUCGACGCUUACAUCUUCGACGGCGACAACGGCACUCCUCAACGUUGAUGGUUAUCGACGGAGGGCAGAGACAGAAGAGAAGUCGACGUGAGAACUGAGAAGAGAGAGGGAAGAGAGACAGGAUUGAAAAUUGAAAAUGGGGGAAAUUAUUAUGGUUUUUAAUUGAAUUGGGGAUUAAUUAUAUAUAAUACCUGAUUUUUGUACAAGUAAACUUUAACCCUGAAUUUUGAAUUUAAAAGUUUAAGUAUCUAGAUUUAUGUAAUUUUUCCAUUAAAAAAUUAAUAAUUAAAAUGAAAAAAUCUCCAUAAACACAAUAGUGUAUAUAAGAGAAAGGUCUAGAAUGUGCAAACGUCCCAUUUUUUUACAUAGACUGAUUGAUAUGAAUAAAAUGCACAAAUGCAAAAUAAUAUAACGAUAAACUAAAAAUUAAGGAUGUGAUAAUGAAAUUAAUAAAUAUGUAAAAAUAUAAUGCUUCAUAGUUUCAAAAUCAUUUAUAAAUUUAUUUUCAAAAUUAAUUCCUUGUAUAGGUUAAAAAUAACUGAGAUUUUCAAGUGGAUCCAAACUUUAAAAAUAGUUCAAAUUCAACAAAAUAUAGUCGGAUCCAACUUAAAUUGGGUCUAAACCCAAACUGACCAACUGCUAGUUUUCGGAUACGAGAUAUUCAUCCUAGUCACUAUGGGCGUAUUUGCCCAAUUGACACAUCUGAGGGAAUCAAUGUUGGACUUAUUGGACCCAAAUUGGGUUGGAUUUAAACAAAUAGUUGGGUUGGGUUGAUUUGAUUUUAGAUCAAAUUGAUCAUGUUGAAUUUGAUUUGGGUUGGAUUCAACCCAAUCCAACCUACGCUCAACCCUAAUUGCUAAUAUGGGAAAAUUUCAUAUUCAAGUUAUUAAGUAUCAUUCAUUUCAAAAAUAAGAAACAAAGUUUCAAACAUCAAAUAUUAAUUAAAUUUUCUCUAUAAAAUAAUUAAUUGAAAAUAUGUUUUAUAAAUUAAAUAUAUUAAAGUCACAAUUUUAUAUAAUUCAGUCAUAAUUGUCAAACUAAUUGGUCACAUAUUAUUUUUCAAUCACAAAUAAAAUUUUUUAUAGGUUAUAAAUUAUUUCACGGUCAUCAAUCAGAAAUUUUACAGGUCACAAUUUGUUAUCAAUCACAAAUUAAAAAAUGUAUAGGUUAUAAUUUAUUUAUCGAUCACAAAUCAUAAAUUGUAUAAGACACAACUCCUUACGAGGUCACAAUGGUUACAAAUUAACAAAUUUUUAGGUUACACAUUAUUUAUUGAUCUCAAUUUAGCUAUUUAAUUGAUCACAUAUUAACUAAUUCAUUAGUCACAAUCAACCGUAUAAUUUGUGACACCACUACCUCCAAUGCCAUAGCCACAAGAACCACCAUCAACACCUAUCGGUAACAACACAACCAACAUAACUACCACCACUACUUUACAACCACCGUGACCUUAGCUACCAUUGUCAGCACGACCACCCUCACCUCGGCCAUCAACACCACCAACACAACAGCGACGCCACCACCCAAAAUCACUUUAAACCACCAUAAAACACCACCAACCGCAAAAACUACUUGCAAACACCACUAUGACACCGGCUGCAGCAAGAUCUGAAUUUGUAUUUGCCGUCGUGGCCACCAAUGCCAAAUUUUCUCUCAUGAGCAACAACAGCAUCUCCAAACCCACCAUUACAACGCAAUCGACACUGCAAUCCACAUCUCCACCACACCACUUCUGCCAAAUCAUCCAUCCUCUAAACAACAAACCAAGACAUUUCUGCAUCAUGUAUCCAAUAAACCCAAUUUGAGGACUAGAUGGAACCCUAAGCCAGAUCUCUUCAAUUUGGGGAAAAAAAAUGCAUUCCAAAUACUCCCCGCUGACAAUGAUCCCACCUGCAGCAGUCUCAUUAGAACCUCCUAUAAACAACUCCUGAUCAACUUCCUUAAACCUAAAACAUCAACCAUACAUCUACAUUCCUGGAUCAAUUUUGUCACUGACAUCCUCCACAACUGCCACCACCAGAUCCAACGAAAACACUCCGUCAUCGUCGUCUUCAUCGCCACCAGCAGCAACACCAAGCAGCCACCACCAUCGCCACCUCCAUGCCACUAACACCAACACAAACAACAUCCAAACCUAAUUUCUAGCGCGCAUGAGAAGAUGCAUCACCUAGAACCAUUGUUGCAAAAAGCAAAAUCUUCAUGCCGGGCGCUGCUAUCGCAAACUGCAGCAUAAUGCUGUUGUGAUAGCCUGAAAAUCAGGAAAGUUAGCUAGAGCAUCGUCGGUAGAAAGUCGUUGCUGUAAAAAUCCGGAGAAUGAGAUGGAGAGUGUUGCCUUAGAUAGAAGGUGUUAGAUAUUUUUCAUCAUUUUGCAUGUGUUCAAUUUUUUGUCUUGCGAAUGAUUUGCCGCCCAGAUUAGUGUUUGUCGCUGUCCAUCUGUUCAUUUUUAACAGUCACUUCCAAUAGACGUACUCAAGGAUUUCAAGGGAUACACCUAUUCAAACAGUUGCCUCAGUUUCUAUAAAUUCUGGACGAAUUCUCAUUUGCAAACAUAUUAAAAACAAUUUAUUCUUCCUUCUUUCUCUUGGCAUCAAUCAAUUAUUUUCGAGUGUCUUCUUGGUUUGAUCAAAUAAUCACAAUUUGAAUCAAACGACUCCAUUGUAUCCUGAGAGAGAUUUUCUAUCAUACCCCAGUUGUGACUUUGUUGAAUAUGGGAGAAAUAUCUCUUAAAAGAUAACGUUUUUUCGUGCCUUGGAGUUCAUUAACGUAUUCAGAUUUCCCUACAUUUUAUCAACAGAAGGUAGAGAGAGGAGAAUAUAGAGAGUAAAAAAGAGAAGAAAAUGAGAAAGAUCUAGGGUUUUGAAAUCUGCUUGGGGUGGAUGGUGUGGUGGUAUAUAAAUUAAUGUAAUUUUAUAACAAUAAUGUAAUAUAAUUAUUAUAAUUUAAAAUUUUGAUUAUCAUCUGAUUUUUGAUAAAAAAAAAUAAAUUACAAAUCUUAAUUUUGAAAUGGAAAGUUUAAAAUUCUGAUAGGCUGUAAUUUCCAUAUAUCGAUAUUAGUGACGUUACUAAUAGUAAUCUUGAUAAGAAAAUUCUCUUAUCUAAAAAUUUCCAAAUCUAUGACAAACCAACCCAUGAAAUUUUCAUGUAACAUACUUUCAUGACAAAGUUCAUCAAACCUAAAAAUGUUCUUAUUGAUAAUCUCUUUAUUUUCAUACCUUUGAUCACGUAAUUAUAUUUUUUCUAAAAUAAAUUUUUUUUUUUAGGGGAGUAUGAUUUUAUUUUUCAAAGAAUUCACUCUCUCUUUCUCUUUCUCAUCUACCCACUAAUUAAAAAAAAACAAACAUAACAUUUUAUAGGUUGAAAAUUAAAUUAGCCAUACACAUUUAAAUAACAAUUUUCAUUCAAAUAAGUUACUCGCAAUCAAACGCAUCCUUAGUAAUCCAGUGGUGCAAAUGACAGGAGUGAGAUAGUUUCAACCUUGCUGACAGCCACAGUGUGAGCAUUCAAUUUCUGAGAUAUGGAAUUGGACUCUUUGUAGGCAUCAGUAUACGAGCAAACUCUUGUUCCCUGACCCGCUGGAACACAUCUCGUGAUUUACCUCCUUCAAGAUACUCCAUUAAUGAGACGGUGAGAGUUGUCAAGAUUGGGGUGAACUUUUUUAGAUGUAAUGAAAAUAGAAGUAUUUUAAUCAAUCACGAUGAAUGUACUAACUCUGUAUAAGACGACGAAAAUAGAUCGAACAGAUAUCCAUUUUUCCAAAUAUUUGUGUGGUUUAGUUAAAUAGAAAGCACCCUCUUCCUUCACCAAACACCAAUUUGCAGAGAGAUAUGGCCUUGCCUUUCUCUCCCUCUUCUUCCUUUCCAAUAAUUGCAUCCCAAAAAUCCACUCAUCCCAACACCACCAAAUUCCAUAUUACUGAAAGACCCAUUAAUAUUUUCACAGAAAACGCCUUAAAAUUCACAUAUUCCAUUCCCAAAAUCACCAAUUCGACCUUCCUCAACAAAGCCUCCCAAGAGCAAGAAAACACCAGUGUUGCCUCAGAAUCCCAAACCCAGGAAAACCCUCCUGAGGAUAACCGGGUCGAGAAAGAUCAGAGUGAGGGAAUAUCAGAAUUGGGUAUGGAAAUCAAGAAGGCAAUGAAGGAGAGGGAGCAAAAGGAACCUGAUUUCUUGAGUGGGGUGGCAGAGGAAAUUAGGGAAAUUGAGUGGCCUGGUUUUAGUAAAGUGUUGGGAACUACUGGAAUUGUUUUGGGGGUGAUGGCAGGGUCGAGUGUCGUUUUGUUAACUGUUAAUGCCGUUUUGGCUGAGCUUUCGGAUCGGGUUUUUGCUGGAAAGGGUAUACAGGAUUUCUUCGGGUGAUGAUAGAGGAGUUGUGAUCUGCUGGGAGAGGGUAUGCCCUCUUGACCUGCACCUGCCACUUGUUAAAGAAGCAUUUGACUGCUUGAAUUUUUGUUACAUAGUUUCUUAUUUUUAACUUGUAUUCCUCUCUGUCAUUUCUUCUAUGGUUUUUGAGGAAUUUUGGAAUGGCAUCUUCGAAAGUGAAAAAUAGCUUUUAGUUAUAUAUUGUAUGUGAAAAACUAAAAAUGGUCAAGUCCAAAUUGACACUAAAUCAAUUGAAACAAAUUAAACAAAUGAAAUAAUGCCAGCUGAACAUUUUUUUUGAUACCUUUUUUGACGUUCCUCUAAGUGCAAAAAAUCUAAAGAGCGAUGUGAUGGUAUUGAUCAAAAUUAAUGGUGUAGAUAUGGUCACACGAAAGAGUUUAAAUCUUGAUGUCAAAUGCAAUGUACAUGUAACAUGGUUAAAACAAACGAUACAUUUGACAUAUAUUUUAAAAUGUCAAAUAUUAUUUCUAGUAGUGAGAAAUUACUUUUAGGCCAUGUUUGAUUGGUCUUGAAUUCCAUGGAAAAUGAAAAAUGAAUUCUAUUUUUCAACUUUUUUUAUAUUUGAUAAAACAUUUUUUUCAUGAAAUUUAAUUUUGUCUUGAAAAUUGUGAUUUUCUUGGUUUUCCUUGAAAACCAUAUGGAUAAGAAUUGGUUUUCCAACUCACUGUCCAUGUUUUUUUUUUUUUUUUUUGCCAUGAAAAUAAAUUUUAAAAAUUAUUGUAAAAAAAAUAUUUUUCUUUAAUGAACAAUUUUCAUGCAAAACAAAGCCAAACGAAUACCAAAAGAUAGAUGAUUUUCUUGAAUUUUUUUUGUUGGCAUUGGAAACAAAUUUAAUUCCCAAUAUCAAUAAAUUUUAUCCAUUUAAUUGAUAAUUUUCAUGUAAAACAAAACCAAAUGAACACUAAAAAACACUUUUAUUUUAACAUUUUUCAGGUAAAAAAUUAUAUCAAUCAAACGCAAUAAUUUAUAAUUUCUAGAAAAAUAAUUUCUAAGCAAUUCAAUUCCUUGAAAUUCGUUUUCAAUUCAAUUUAAUUUCAUAUUUACAAUUAAAUAGACCCUUGAACAUAUUUAUAUAGUUGUUUAGAAGUAUAUGUUUGGUUAAAAUAGCUUUUAGAUGAAACUGACUUAACGCAACUUCACCGAAAAGUUCUUCUACAAACAAAAACUCUGGUAGACGGACCUCAAAAUUGACCACUUCUCUGCUAAAUCAACACAGCAAACACAGUAAAGAAAGUGCAACGCGGUAGGAAGGAGAACGGAAAAAAGGUUAGCAAAGUCGCGCAUUUAGGAAACAGGGUGUGGGUGAAGAUGGAGUUCAGAGAAGGACAUCGUAAAGAGAAUUUCUGGAUAUUUGAAAAAACAAUAUUAGUUGAUCAUCAAAGUUUAAAAGGCCAACCUCCCAAUAUAAGCAAACAAGUGUCCAAGUUAGGCUACCAGAAUUCAUAAAAAAACCAACUCCCAAGAUACAGCACAGAGUUCGAUCAGUUUUAACAUCUAACCAACGAAAGCAUAUCAAGUUUACACCAAAGGCAACAAAGCAUUCAAAGUUGUUAAUUAUGAAUAAAAAAAGCUGGCACGAGAAAGGGCUUAAUAGGAAAAAUAUCUACUCACUAACACUCGCAGGACCAACAAGGACUCCCUGUGCAUUUCCUUCCUUCUUACCACUCUCAUCUUUCAUUUCACCAUCAGUUUUUUUAAUUCUAAUUUUGUAUUUGGCCUCGAAUUCAGCGACCUCCUUUUUCUUCUUCUCCAAGGCCUCGUUGAGUCGAUUUAUUACCUCUUCAAUCCCCUCCUUGUUUCGCUGGACAGCUGGCAAAACUUCUUUAAUGGUUCUUUCCACGAGGACACCUCCAAUCAUCCGGUAGCAACGCCUCGACGGAUCAAGAGGUUUAAUUGCGUUGAUCACGAGUGAAUGCUCACUAACCUCCAUCUCAAGUUCAGUAAUUUUGGAGUAAAUUUGGUUGAUCUCAGCCCUCAUGGCACCAUAGAUGUUGGCGACGGCUUGCUCGUUCAUUGGUUCCUUACCAUCACCUUCAGCUUUCGCCAUGAUACUAAUAUGAAUAGGAAAACAAACUUUGGUCAAACUAUGACUCAUGUUCUUCUGUAAUUUCUACAUCUCAAACAGUUGAAAAUGCUUUAUGCAAAUCACAUAAUAGGUCUCACAGCCCGUCGAAUUGUGUCAGGCGGGAAACAGAAAGAAUAUUCAGUAGAUUUCUUUCCGGUGAGAACUAGAUACGACCCAUAUUGUCAUGUGUUUCAGGAUGCCAUUUGAUCCGGGUGGACGGGAACCAACCCAGAUCAAUUGGCUCCCCAACGACAAUAAUUGGCAUAAAAGGAAAUAAAUAAAAUACAGACACGUGAUAGGCUCUCUGUCAAAAAUUAAUCCUUUUCCGACAACAACUUAAGCUAAAAAUGCUAGAAGCAGAACAUAAAAGGAAAAUGAAAUACACAGAACUGAGAAGCUAUCAAUCAAUGUCCAUCCUUCUCUGAUGAAAAGUCCAGCUAGAGAUACCUUACAAUAGCGACAAGCUCCAUCUUCAAGAUGCAUCAUAUUACCACAAACAAGAAAAACUAAGCCUUGUUCCCACUGGAUUAGGGGUUCACAACUGAAUCAUUUUUCUCUACUCCCUUCAGUUCAUUGUUAUAGACCAACUAGAAGUUCGAAAUAAUUAAAUCCUAACUUACUUCAAAGACACUUUCAAAGUUAUAUUUACUUACACCAGUAAGUGUGAAAUAACAAGGUAAACAGAAAAAAUAAAAUAAAAUAAAUUUAACACAACAUUGUUCCCAUUUGAUUUGUGGUUGGCAACUGAAUCAUUUUUGUCCACUCCUGAAGUUCAUCAUUAGACCAACUAGGAGUUCAAAAUAAUUAUAUCCUAAGCACUUUCAAAAUUUUGUUUACUAAAACCAGUAAAAGUGACAUAACAAGGUAAACAAAAAACAAGUAACACUUGCAUACAUUGCCCAGAAUUAUUUUAAUUGACAGCACCAACAUGCCGCACUGCAACUGAAACCCCAUAGCUUGAACUAGCCCAAACAUUUACCAACCAUAAACAGAGGGGAAGGCAUAUGAGAGAAAUAAAUAGUGGGUGAUUGUUGAACAAAAAGACCCUAAAAUUCAUAGAUCGGUUGAAUGCAAAAAUUCAGUAUCCACCAGUUUCCUCAAGAUUUACAUCCCAGACAAAAAGAUUUUUUUCAGUUCAAUACUAGAAGGCAUAGCAGUUUGUUACCAAUAUCCAUGAAUAUAUCUAAAGAUUACACUAAUUAGCUAAGAAUAUUUCAUUUCUAUAGGAAUCCAUUCAUGUUCCCCUGCCCUCGAAGUCCCAAUGCCUCGAGGGAAAGAGACACAAUAAACUAACACCUUCAGUUUGCGUGAAACCCAGAUAAACAAAAAAUGCACAAACUGGAAAUAAUACACACAUAUACAGGUGCAGGUAUGUGUUGGUGGGUCAUGUAUGACAAUUCUACUAGAAAUCAGUUAUUACACGUAGUUUUAGGAUUCAAAUAUUAUUCGUAACUAGGAUUGCCAGUAUUUCAUUAAUUUUGUUAUUUAGUUGAUAAGGUAGGUUAUCAGUUUUCUAAUUAUAUUAAGAGUUUCUUAUAUAAGAAUUCUUAAAUUUUGAGGAGACUCAAUUGUAAAUGAAUCUCUCCUUCCAUUCCAAUGCUUAUAUAAGAAGAGGACUGUCUGUACUUGUAUUAUGUUCAAAUUAUUUUAGAUAGUACUCUUUAGCCUUUUCUAGUUUUUACAAGAUUAAACUUCAAUUGCUACAAUAGUGAGAUAAUAUGCCAUCCUUAGAUAUUACACCGUUUACAAACCUUGAUUACUAAAAAUAGUCAAAAGACUAAAAAUUCAACAACAAACAUCGUCUAUAAUUCAAACGAAGCUUAAAUCACUAUAUUUUGUUUUGCAUAAAUGCAAAAACUGAGCGCAAUCAUAAAACAUUCACGAUACAUAAAAACCCAAGUACACCAAAAAAAGGACAAACCUUUUGAAACUAACAUCUACAAACUAACAUUGUAUAAAUUCAGGGACACAGGAAUAUUAUGUAAAAGCAUAAACCCUAACUCUUUCAAAUAUGUAUUUGCUAAUUUCUCCCAGUGUUGUGUCGGUAUUGAAAAGAUCAAUCAAAAUUGAACUGACCUUAGUAAUCAGAGGGUUCUAAGUGAGAGAGGCAGCCGAUUGAGCGAGAGUAGAGAAACGAUUGACUGAAGAGGUCAGGAAGAGGUGAGGGGAAGAGAAGGGAAGAAAGGAGACUGAGAGGCUUUUAUACUUCUAUUAUUUGUCUUGGAUCCCACCUCAAAUAUUUCCUAAUAAAUAAAUUUUGAAAUUAAAGAUACUUUUAGAAAUUUAGCCCCUUCUGAGCUUCAUUCUUCUGAGAAAAUAUAUUUUUAAAUAAUAUUUUAACAUUAUUUUAAUUACAUGUUUUUUAAUAAAAUAAUAUUAAAUACAAAUUUAAAAUUUUUCUUAUUUUAUAACUAUAUAUUUUUUAUCAAUAUAUUAUUCAAAAAUACAUUUUUAUAAAACGAAAGGACUCAAACAAGGGUUUAAUUUAAGGAAAAAAAGUAAGAAGCAAAAGUUCCAAAAUAAUUUGUAUAGAAGAAAUACAAGGAAUUUGCCUGAGCUUUGACAGCUCGGUGUACAACCCUCUCGCAAAAGAAGGGGGUAGACAUCCAAUAAAAAAAUCACGACCCCUCUCUUGUGAGAGGGACUGUAUACCAAGCUAUGUACAAGUAGCAGGACCAAAAAUACAAAGGCCGUGCUCACUAUAAGCGGGCCAUCAAAUUUGUUUGAAGACCUUAAAAAACCGGGCCCAACAUGAGCUAACACAAAUUUGGGCUUCUUAGAAUUAGAGAUAAAACAUCUCUCAAUCUUGACUCCGAGAAUCCUAGCUUAUUUGUUUUUCCAACCAUGCUACUUAUACAAUAUUUUUACAAUCUUAAUUAACAACAUACACUUGACAACAUUAUCUUCAUCUAUUUUAGAAAUUAUUUUUCAAAUCAAUGGUCCAAAUCUUGACAACAUCAAUUUUGUCAAUCACAAUUAUCAACAAUAAUUAUACAAAUAGCUUUAUUCUUGUUUCUCACCCUUAAAUUGAUGCCUUGUUUGCAUCCGUACCGAAGAAUAGUUUUAUCAAGUCCUUGUUUGAAUCCCAUUUUAGAAAAAUAUACAUUUUGAAAUGGUGAUUUUUUUAAAAAAAAAAUUUUGGAGAAUAUAUGAUCAAAAAAUAAGGAAAAAUUUUCAAUAUACGUGUAAAAUUAGUUCAUUGAGGAAUGUUUGGUUGAAAAUGAAUUUUGAAAAAAUGGAAACCAAUAGAAUUCUGUAUUUAUUAAUAUGUAAAUAUAAAACAACCGUUAUUAAUUUAUCAAAUAAAGGCUAGUGAUUGUAACAAACAUCAUGUUUUUGUGUGCAAGGUAAUGUAUAAACUUUACGCUGCAAAGUAGCCAUGCCCGGCUCAAGGCCGGGAUUUAAAUAUGCUCAUAGACGGGGGACGGCGCCUCCAUUUCCAUAGUUCCAGGUCACAUCGGUCACAAUUUCUUGGUCACAAAUAACAAAAUUGUUGGUCAUAUGCACUAAACAUCCAACCUUGAUACUGAUCGACCACUAAUUUUUGGUCACAGACGCCCAAAUAGUUGGUCACGGAUGUCUAAUUAUUGGUCACAAACCCCCACCCAUCACUACCACUGCAACCACCAUCGCCAUCAUCAUCAACAGCAAUACAACAAUAGUUGGACACUACCGCAUCCAGAACCACCAUCAUCUCACCAAGAUGAGCACCACCGUCUCCUGCCACCACCAUCAUUAGCAUCACCGUACCCGUAACACCACGACGCCCACAACACACCACCACCGCACAUCGCACCGCCCACAGCACAACACAACACCAAAACCACCACCACCACCACCAUCUCCUCUAUCUCCAUUUACAUCACACCCAACCACCAUCCCCACUAAGAAUCCAUAAACCGGCCACCACCACCAUUACCACAGCACACUAUCACCGCAUGCGCAACCAUCACCUCAAAAAGCAACAAAAAAGGUCCAAAAAUCACAAGAAAAACCAUUGCACAGCGCAGCAAAAUCAUGGUAGAAACCUCCGCUUGCGCAACCACCACCCCAAAAAUGCAAGAAAAAAUGUCGAAAAAUCACAAGAAAAACCUUUGCCCGCUCAACUAGCCAUGACAACGCCGCGCAACGCCGCUAUGAGAGCUCACUUCGAUGCUCAUAGCUUUGAUUGGCGGUGUGGCUUCGAUCGGCAAGAUUGCUCAUAUCGCCAACUGCGAUGGCGCCACACUGCAGCAACUAUGCCGCCGCUCGACCCUUACAUCUUCGACGGCGACAACGGCACUCCUCAACGUUGAUGGUUAUCGACGGAGGGCAGAGACAGAAGAGAAGUCAACGUGAGAACUGAGAAGAGAGAGGGAAGAGAGACAGGAUUGAAAAUUGAAAAUGGAGGAAAUUAUUAUGGUUUUUAAUUGAAUUGGGGAUUAAUUAUAUAUAAUACCUGAUUUUUGUACAAGUAAACUUUAACCCUGAAUUUUGAAUUUAAAAGUUUAAGUAUCUGGAUUUAUGUAAUUUUUCCAUUAAAAAAUUAAUAAUUAAAAUGAAAAAAUCUCCAUAAACACAAUAGUGUAUAUAAGAGAAAGGUCUAGAAUGUGCAAACGUCCCAUUUUUUUACAUAGACUGAUUGAUAUGAAUAAAAUGCACAAAUGCAAAAUAAUAUAACGAUAAACUAAAAAUUAAGGAUGUGAUAAUGAAAUUAAUAAAUAUGUAAAAAUAUAAUGCUUCAUAGUUUCAAAAUCAUUUAUAAAUUUAUUUUCAAAAUUAAUUCCUUGUAUAGGUUAAAAAUAACUGAGAUUUUCAAGUGGAUCCAAACUUUAAAAAUAGUUCAAAUUCAACAAAAUAUAGUCGGAUCCAACUUAAAUUGGGUCUAAACCCAAACUGACCAACUGCUAGUUUUCGGAUACGAGAUAUUCAUCCUAGUCACUAUGGGCGUAUUUGCCCAAUUGACACAUCUGAGGGAAUCAAUGUUGGACUUAUUGGACCCAAAUUGGGUUGGAUUUAAACAAAUAGUUGGGUUGGGUUGAUUUGAUUUUAGAUCAAAUUGAUCAUGUUGAAUUUGAUUUGGGUUGGAUUCAACCCAAUCCAACCUACGCUCAACCCUAAUUGCUAAUAUGGGAAAAUUUCAUAUUCAAGUUAUUAAGUAUCAUUCAUUUCAAAAAUAAGAAACAAAGUUUCAAACAUCAAAUAUUAAUUAAAUUUUCUCUAUAAAAUAAUUAAUUGAAAAUAUGUUUUAUAAAUUAAAUAUAUUAAAGUCACAAUUUUAUAUAAUUCAGUCAUAAUUGUCAAACUAAUUGGUCACAUAUUAUUUUUCAAUCACAAAUAAAAUUUUUUAUAGGUUAUAAAUUAUUUCACGGUCAUCAAUCAGAAAUUUUACAGGUCACAAUUUGUUAUCAAUCACAAAUUAAAAAAUGUAUAGGUUAUAAUUUAUUUAUCGAUCACAAAUCAUAAAUUGUAUAAGACACAACUCCUUACGAGGUCACAAUGGUUACAAAUUAACAAAUUUUUAGGUUACACAUUAUUUAUUGAUCUCAAUUUAGCUAUUUAAUUGAUCACAUAUUAACUAAUUCAUUAGUCACAAUCAACCGUAUAAUUUGUGACACCACUACCUCCAAUGCCAUAGCCACAAGAACCACCAUCAACACCUAUCGGUAACAACACAACCAACAUAACUACCACCACUACUUUACAACCACCGUGACCUUAGCUACCAUUGUCAGCACGACCACCCUCACCUCGGCCAUCAACACCACCAACACAACAGCGACGCCACCACCCAAAAUCACUUUAAACCACCAUAAAACACCACCAACCGCAAAAACUACUUGCAAACACCACUAUGACACCGGCUGCAGCAAGAUCUGAAUCUGUAUUUGUUGUCGUGGCCACCAAUGCCAAAUUUUCUCUCAUGAGCAACAACAGCAUCUCCAAACCCACCAUUACAACGCAAUCGACACUGCAAUCCACAUCUCCACCACACCACUUCUGCCAAAUCAUCCAUCCUCUAAACAACAAACCAAGACAUUUCUGCAUCAUGUAUCCAAUAAACCCAAUUUGAGGACUAGAUGGAACCCUAAGCCAGAUCUCUUCAAUUUGGGGGGAAAAAAUGCAUUCCAAAUACUCCCCGCUGACAAUGAUCCCACCUGCAGCAGUCUCAUUAGAACCUCCUAUAAACAACUCCAGAUCAACUUCCUUAAACCUAAAACAUCAACCAUACAUCUACAUUCCUGGAUCAAUUUUGUCACUGACAUCCUCCACAACUGCCACCACCAGAUCCAACGAAAACACUCCGUCAUCUUCGUCUUCAUCGCCACCAGCAGCAACACCAAGCAGCCACCACCAUCGCCACCUCCAUGCCACUAACACCAACACAAACAACAUCCAAACCUAAUUUCUAGCGCGCAUGAGAAGAUGCAUCACCUAGAACCAUUGCUGCAAAAAGCAAAAUCUUCAUGCCGGGCGCUGCUAUCGCAAACUGCAGCAUAAUGCUGUUGCGAUAGCCUGAAAAUCAGGAAAGUUAGCUAGAGCAUCGUCGGUAGAAAGUCGUUGCUGUAAAAAUCCGGAGAAUGAGAUGGAGAGUGUUGCCUUAGAUAGAAGGUGUUAGAUAUUUUUCAUCAUUUUGCAUGUGUUUAAUUUUUUGUCUUGCGAAUGAUUUGCCGCCCAGAUUAGUGUUUGUCGCUGUCCAUCUGUUCAUUUUUAACAGUCACUUCCAAUAGACGUACUCAAGGAUUUCAAGGGAUACACCUAUUCAAACAGUUGCCUCAGUUUCUAUAAAUUCUGGACGAAUUCUCAUUUGCAAACAUAUUAAAAACAAUUUAUUCAGCCACAAGAACCACCAUCAACACCUAUCGGUAACAACACAACCAACAUAACUACCACCACUACUUUACAACCACCGUGACCUUAGCUACCACUGUCAGCACGACCACCCUCACCUCGGCCAUCAACACCACCAACACAACAGCGACGCCACCACCCAAAAUCACUUUAAACCACCAUAAAACACCACCAACCGCAAAAUCUACUUGCAAACACCACUACGACACCGGCUGCAGCAAGAUCUGAAUUUGUAUUUGCCGUCGUGGCCACCAAUGCCAAAUUUUCUCUCAUGAGCAACAACAGCGUCUCCAAACCCACCAUUACAACGCAAUCGACACUGCAAUCCACAUCUCCACCACACCACUUUUGCCAAAUCAUCCAUCCUCUAAACAACAAACCAAGACAUUUCUGCAUCAUGUAUCCAAUAAACCCAAUUUGAGGACUAGAUGGAACCCUAAGCCAGAUCUCUUCAAUUUGGGGAAAAAAAAUGCAUUCCAAAUACUCCCCGCUGACAAUGAUCCCACCUGCAGCAGUCUCAUUAGAACCUCCUAUAAACAACUCCUGAUCAACUUCCUUAAACCUAAAACAUCAACCAUACAUCUACAUUCCUGGAUCAAUUUUGUCACUGACAUCCUCCACAACUGCCACCACCAGAUCCAACGAAAACACUCCGUCAUCGUCGUCUUCAUCGCCACCAGCAGCAACACCAAGCAGCCACCACCAUCGCCACCUCCAUGCCACUAACACCAACACAAACAACAUCCAAACCUAAUUUCUAGCGCACAUGAGAAGAUGCAUCACCUAGAACCAUUGUUGCAAAAAGCAAAAUCUUCAUGCCGGGCGCUGCUAUCGCAAACUGCAGCAUAAUGCUGUUGUGAUAGCCUGAAAAUCAGGAAAGUUAGCUAGAGCAUCGUCGGUAGAAAGUCGUUGCUGUAAAAAUCCGGAGAAUGAGAUGGAGAGUGUUGCCUUAGGUAGAAGGUGUUAGAUAUUUUUCAUCAUUUUGCAUGUGUUCAAUUUUUUGUCUUGCGAAUGAUUUGCCGCCCAGAUUAGUGUUUGUCGCUGUGCAUCUGUUCAUUUUUAACAGUCACUUCUAAUAGAUGUACUCAAGGAUUUCAAGAGAUACACCUAUUCAAACAGUUGCCUCGGUUUCUAUAAAUUCUGGACGAAUUCUCGUUUGCAAACACAUUAAAAACAAUUUAUUCUUCCUUCUUUCUCUUGGCAUCAAUCAAUUAUUUUCGAGUGUCUUCUUGGUUUGAUCAAAUAAUCACAAUUUGAAUCAAACGACUCCAUUGUAUCCUGAGAGAGAUUUUCUAUCAUACCCCAGUUGUGACUUUGUUGAAUAGAGGAGAAAUAUCUCUUAAAAGAUAACGUUUUUUCGUGCCUUAGAGUUCAUUAACGUAUUCAGAUUUCCCUACAUUUUAUCAACAGAAGGUAGAGAGAGGAGAAUAUAGAGAGUAAAAAAGAGAAGAAAAUGAGAAAGAUCUAGGGUUUUGAAAUCAGCUUGGGGUGGAUGGUGUGGUGGUAUAUAAAUUAAUGUAAUUUUAUAACAAUAAUGUAAUAUAAUUAUUAUAAUUUAAAAUUUUGAUUAUCAUCUGAUUUUUGAUAAAAAAAAAUAAAUUACAAAUCUUAAUUUUGAAAUGGAAAGCUUAAAAUUCUGAUAGGCUGUAAUUUCCAUAUAUCGAUAUUAGUGACGUUACUAAUAGUAAUCUUGAUAAGAAAAUUCUCUUAUCUAAAAAUUUCCAGAUCUAUGACAAACCAACCCAUGAAAUUUUCAUGUAACAUACUUUCAUGACAAAGUUCAUCAAACCUAAAAAUGUUCUUAUUGAUAAUCUCUUUAUUUUCACGUAAUUAUAUUUUUUCUAAAAUAGAAAAUAUUUUUUUUAGGGGAGUAUGAUUUUAUUUUUCAAAGAAUUCACUCUCUCUUUCUCUUUCUCAUCUACCCACUAAUUAAAAAAAAACAAACAUAACAUUUUAUAGGUUGAAAAUUAAAUUAGCCAUACACAUUUAAAUAACAAUUUUCAUUCAAAUAAGUUACUCGCAAUCAAACGCAUCCUUAGUAAUCCAGUGGUGCAAAUGACAGGAGUGAGAUAGUUUCAACCUUGCUGACAGCCACAGUGUGAGCAUUCAAUUUCUGAGAUAUGGAAUUGGACUCUUUGUAGGUAUCAGUAUACGAGCAAACUCUUGUUCCCUGACCCACUGGGACACAUCUCGCGAUUUACCUCCUUCAAGAUACUCCAUUAACGAAACGGUGAGAGUUGUCAAGGUUGGGGUCAACUUUUUUAGAUGUAAUGAAAAUAGAAGUAUUUUAAUCAAUCACGAUGAAUGUACUAACUCUGUAUAAGACGACGAAAAUAGAUCGAACAGAUAUCCAUUUUUCCAAAUAUUUGUGUGGUUUAGUUAAAUAGAAAGCACCCUCUUCCUUCACCAAACACCAAUUUGCAGAGAGAUAUGGCCUUGCCUUUCUCUCCCUCUUCUUCCUUUCCAAUAAUUGCAUCCCAAAAAUCCACUCAUCCCAACACCACCAAAUUCCAUAUUACUGAAAGACCCAUUAAUAUUUUCACAGAAAACGCCUUAAAAUUCACAUAUUCCAUUCCCAAAAUCACCAAUUCGACCUUCCUCAACAAAGCCUCCCAAGAGCAAGAAAACACCAGUGUUGCCUCAGAAUCCCAAACCCAGGAAAACCCUCCUGAGGAUAACCGGGUCGAGAAAGAUCAGAGUGAGGGAAUAUCAGAAUUGGGUAUGGAAAUCAAGAAGGCAAUGAAGGAGAGGGAGCAAAAGGAACCUGAUUUCUUGAGUGGGGUGGCAGAGGAAAUUAGGGAAAUUGAGUGGCCUGGUUUUAGUAAAGUGUUGGGAACUACUGGAAUUGUUUUGGGGGUGAUGGCAGGGUCGAGUGUCGUUUUGUUAACUGUUAAUGCCGUUUUGGCUGAGCUUUCGGAUCGGGUUUUUGCUGGAAAGGGUAUACAGGAUUUCUUCGGGUGAUGAUAGAGGAGUUGUGAUCUGCUGGGAGAGGGUAUGCCCUCUUGACCUGCACCUGCCACUUGUUAAAGAAGCAUUUGACUGCUUGAAUUUUUGUUACAUAGUUUCUUAUUUUUAACUUGUAUUCCUCUCUGUCAUUUCUUCUAUGGUUUUUGAGGAAUUUUGGAAUGGCAUCGCCUUAGAUAGAAGGUGUUAGAUAUUUUUCAUCAUUUUGCAUGUGUUUAAUUUUUUGUCUUGCGAAUGAUUUGCCGCCCAGAUUAGUGUUUGUCGCUGUCCAUCUGUUCAUUUUUAACAGUCACUUCCAAUAGACGUACUCAAGGAUUUCAAGGGAUACACCUAUUCAAACAGUUGCCUCAGUUUCUAUAAAUUCUGGACGAAUUCUCAUUUGCAAACAUAUUAAAAACAAUUUAUUCUUCCUUCUUUCUCUUGGCAUCAAUCAGUUAUUUUCGAGUGUCUUCUUGGUUUGAUCAAAUAAUCAUAAUUUGAAUCAAACGACUCCAUUGUAUUCUGAGAGAGAUUUUCUAUCAUACCCCAGUUGUGACUUUGUUGAAUAUGGGAGAAAUAUCUCUUAAAAGAUAACGUUUUUUCGUGCCUUGGAGUUCAUUAACGUAUUCAGAUUUCCCUACAUUUUAUCAACAGAAGGUAGAGAGAGGAGAAUAUAGAGAGUAAAAAAGAGAAGAAAAUGAGAAAGAUCUAGGGUUUUGAAAUCUGCUUGGGGUGGAUGGUGUGGUGGUAUAUAAAUUAAUGUAAUUUUAUAACAAUAAUGUAAUAUAAUUAUUAUAAUUUAAAAUUUUGAUUAUCAUCUGAUUUUUGAUAAAAAAAAAUAAAUUACAAAUCUUAAUUUUGAAAUGGAAAGUUUAAAAUUCUGAUAGGCUGUAAUUUCCAUAUAUCGAUAUUAGUGACGUUACUAAUAGUAAUCUUGAUAAGAAAAUUCUCUUAUCUAAAAAUUUCCAAAUCUAUGACAAACCAACCCAUGAAAUUUUCAUGUAACAUACUUUCAUGACAAAGUUCAUCAAACCUAAAAAUGUUCUUAUUGAUAAUCUCUUUAUUUUCAUACCUUUGAUCACGUAAUUAUAUUUUUUCUAAAAUAAAUUUUUUUUUUUAGGGGAGUAUGAUUUUAUUUUUCAAAGAAUUCACUCUCUCUUUCUCUUUCUCAUCUACCUACUAAUAAAAAAAAAAAAAACAAACAUAACAUUUUAUAGGUUGAAAAUUAAAUUAACCAUACACAUUUAAAUAACAAUUUUCAUUCAACUAAGUUACACGCAAUCAAACGCAUCCUUAGUAAUCCAGUAGUGCAAAUGACAGGAGUGAGAUAGUCUCAACCUUGCUGACAGCCACAGUGUGAGCGUUCAAUUUCUGAGAUAUGGAAUUGGACUCUUUGUAGGCAUCAGUAUACGAGCAAACUCUUGUUCCCUGACCCGCUGGAACACAUCUCGUGAUUUACCUCCUUCAAGAUACUCCAUUAAUGAGACGGUGAGAGUUGUCAAGAUUGGGGUGAACUUUUUUAGAUGUAAUGAAAAUAGAAGUAUUUUAAUCAAUCACGAUGAAUGUACUAACUCUGUAUAAGACGACGAAAAUAGAUCGAACAGAUAUCCAUUUUUCCAAAUAUUUGUGUGGUUUAGUUAAAUAGAAAGCACCCUCUUCCUUCACCAAACACCAAUUUGCAGAGAGAUAUGGCCUUGCCUUUCUCUCCCUCUUCUUCCUUUCCAAUAAUUGCAUCCCAAAAAUCCACUCAUCCCAACACCACCAAAUUCCAUAUUACUGAAAGACCCAUUAAUAUUUUCACAGAAAACGCCUUAAAAUUCACAUAUUCCAUUCCCAAAAUCACCAAUUCGACCUUCCUCAACAAAGCCUCCCAAGAGCAAGAAAACACCAGUGUUGCCUCAGAAUCCCAAACCCAGGAAAACCCUCCUGAGGAUAACCGGGUCGAGAAAGAUCAGAGUGAGGGAAUAUCAGAAUUGGGUAUGGAAAUCAAGAAGGCAAUGAAGGAGAGGGAGCAAAAGGAACCUGAUUUCUUGAGUGGGGUGGCAGAGGAAAUUAGGGAAAUUGAGUGGCCUGGUUUUAGUAAAGUGUUGGGAACUACUGGAAUUGUUUUGGGGGUGAUGGCAGGGUCGAGUGUCGUUUUGUUAACUGUUAAUGCCGUUUUGGCUGAGCUUUCGGAUCGGGUUUUUGCUGGAAAGGGUAUACAGGAUUUCUUCGGGUGAUGAUAGAGGAGUUGUGAUCUGCUGGGAGAGGGUAUGCCCUCUUGACCUGCACCUGCCACUUGUUAAAGAAGCAUUUGACUGCUUGAAUUUUUGUUACAUAGUUUCUUAUUUUUAACUUGUAUUCCUCUCUGUCAUUUCUUCUAUGGUUUUUGAGGAAUUUUGGAAUGGCAUCUUCGAAAGUGAAAAAUAGCUUUUAGUUAUAUAUUGUAUGUGAAAAACUAAAAAUGGUCAAGUCCAAAUUGACACUAAAUCAAUUGAAACAAAUUAAACAAAUGAAAUAAUGCCAGCUGAACAUUUUUUUUGAUACCUUUUUUGACGUUCCUCUAAGUGCAAAAAAUCUAAAGAGCGAUGUGAUGGUAUUGAUCAAAAUUAAUGGUGUAGAUAUGGUCACACGAAAGAGUUUAAAUCUUGAUGUCAAAUGCAAUGUACAUGUAACAUGGUUAAAACAAACGAUACAUUUGACAUAUAUUUUAAAAUGUCAAAUAUUAUUUCUAGUAGUGAGAAAUUACUUUUAGGCCAUGUUUGAUUGGUCUUGAAUUCCAUGGAAAAUGAAAAAUGAAUUCUAUUUUUCAACUUUUUUUAUAUUUGAUAAAACAUUUUUUUCAUGAAAUUUAAUUUUGUCUUGAAAAUUGUGAUUUUCUUGGUUUUCCUUGAAAACCAUAUGGAUAAGAAUUGGUUUUCCAACUCACUGUCCAUGUUUUUUUUUUUUUUUUUUUCCUUAAAAUAAAUUUUAAAAAUUAUUGUAAAAAAAAUAUUUUUCUUUAAUGAACAAUUUUCAUGCAAAACAAAGCCAAACGAAUACCAAAAGAUAGAUGAUUUUCUUGAAUUUUUUUUGUUGGCAUUGGAAACAAAUUUAAUUCCCAAUAUCAAUAAAUUUUAUCCAUUUAAUUGAUAAUUUUCAUGUAAAACAAAACCAAAUGAACACUAAAAAACACUUUUAUUUUAACAUUUUUCAGGUAAAAAAUUAUAUCAAUCAAACGCAAUAAUUUAUAAUUUCUAGAAAAAUAAUUUCUAAGCAAUUCAAUUCCUUGAAAUUCGUUUUCAAUUCAAUUUAAUUUCAUAUUUACAAUUAAAUAGACCCUUGAACAUAUUUAUAUAGUUGUUUAGAAGUAUAUGUUUGGUUAAAAUAGCUUUUAGAUGAAACUGACUUAACGCAACUUCACCGAAAAGUUCUUCUACAAACAAAAACUCUGGUAGACGGACCUCAAAAUUGACCACUUCUCUGCUAAAUCAACACAGCAAACACAGUAAAGAAAGUGCAACGCGGUAGGAAGGAGAACGGAAAAAAGGUUAGCAAAGUCGCGCAUUUAGGAAACAGGGUGUGGGUGAAGAUGGAGUUCAGAGAAGGACAUCGUAAAGAGAAUUUCUGGAUAUUUGAAAAAACAAUAUUAGUUGAUCAUCAAAGUUUAAAAGGCCAACCUCCCAAUAUAAGCAAACAAGUGUCCAAGUUAGGCUACCAGAAUUCAUAAAAAAACCAACUCCCAAGAUACAGCACAGAGUUCGAUCAGUUUUAACAUCUAACCAACGAAAGCAUAUCAAGUUUACACCAAAGGCAACAAAGCAUUCAAAGUUGUUAAUUAUGAAUAAAAAAAGCUGGCACGAGAAAGGGCUUAAUAGGAAAAAUAUCUACUCACUAACACUCGCAGGACCAACAAGGACUCCCUGUGCAUUUCCUUCCUUCUUACCACUCUCAUCUUUCAUUUCACCAUCAGUUUUUUUAAUUCUAAUUUUGUAUUUGGCCUCGAAUUCAGCGACCUCCUUUUUCUUCUUCUCCAAGGCCUCGUUGAGUCGAUUUAUUACCUCUUCAAUCCCCUCCUUGUUUCGCUGGACAGCUGGCAAAACUUCUUUAAUGGUUCUUUCCACGAGGACACCUCCAAUCAUCCGGUAGCAACGCCUCGACGGAUCAAGAGGUUUAAUUGCGUUGAUCACGAGUGAAUGCUCACUAACCUCCAUCUCAAGUUCAGUAAUUUUGGAGUAAAUUUGGUUGAUCUCAGCCCUCAUGGCACCAUAGAUGUUGGCGACGGCUUGCUCGUUCAUUGGUUCCUUACCAUCACCUUCAGCUUUCGCCAUGAUACUAAUAUGAAUAGGAAAACAAACUUUGGUCAAACUAUGACUCAUGUUCUUCUGUAAUUUCUACAUCUCAAACAGUUGAAAAUGCUUUAUGCAAAUCACAUAAUAGGUCUCACAGCCCGUCGAAUUGUGUCAGGCGGGAAACAGAAAGAAUAUUCAGUAGAUUUCUUUCCGGUGAGAACUAGAUACGACCCAUAUUGUCAUGUGUUUCAGGAUGCCAUUUGAUCCGGGUGGACGGGAACCAACCCAGAUCAAUUGGCUCCCCAACGACAAUAAUUGGCAUAAAAGGAAAUAAAUAAAAUACAGACACGUGAUAGGCUCUCUGUCAAAAAUUAAUCCUUUUCCGACAACAACUUAAGCUAAAAAUGCUAGAAGCAGAACAUAAAAGGAAAAUGAAAUACACAGAACUGAGAAGCUAUCAAUCAAUGUCCAUCCUUCUCUGAUGAAAAGUCCAGCUAGAGAUACCUUACAAUAGCGACAAGCUCCAUCUUCAAGAUGCAUCAUAUUACCACAAACAAGAAAAACUAAGCCUUGUUCCCACUGGAUUAGGGGUUCACAACUGAAUCAUUUUUCUCUACUCCCUUCAGUUCAUUGUUAUAGACCAACUAGAAGUUCGAAAUAAUUAAAUCCUAACUUACUUCAAAGACACUUUCAAAGUUAUAUUUACUUACACCAGUAAGUGUGAAAUAACAAGGUAAACAGAAAAAAUAAAAUAAAAUAAAUUUAACACAACAUUGUUCCCAUUUGAUUUGUGGUUGGCAACUGAAUCAUUUUUGUCCACUCCUGAAGUUCAUCAUUAGACCAACUAGGAGUUCAAAAUAAUUAUAUCCUAAGCACUUUCAAAAUUUUGUUUACUAAAACCAGUAAAAGUGACAUAACAAGGUAAACAAAAAACAAGUAACACUUGCAUACAUUGCCCAGAAUUAUUUUAAUUGACAGCACCAACAUGCCGCACUGCAACUGAAACCCCAUAGCUUGAACUAGCCCAAACAUUUACCAACCAUAAACAGAGGGGAAGGCAUAUGAGAGAAAUAAAUAGUGGGUGAUUGUUGAACAAAAAGACCCUAAAAUUCAUAGAUCGGUUGAAUGCAAAAAUUCAGUAUCCACCAGUUUCCUCAAGAUUUACAUCCCAGACAAAAAGAUUUUUUUCAGUUCAAUACUAGAAGGCAUAGCAGUUUGUUACCAAUAUCCAUGAAUAUAUCUAAAGAUUACACUAAUUAGCUAAGAAUAUUUCAUUUCUAUAGGAAUCCAUUCAUGUUCCCCUGCCCUCGAAGUCCCAAUGCCUCGAGGGAAAGAGACACAAUAAACUAACACCUUCAGUUUGCGUGAAACCCAGAUAAACAAAAAAUGCACAAACUGGAAAUAAUACACACAUAUACAGGUGCAGGUAUGUGUUGGUGGGUCAUGUAUGACAAUUCUACUAGAAAUCAGUUAUUACACGUAGUUUUAGGAUUCAAAUAUUAUUCGUAACUAGGAUUGCCAGUAUUUCAUUAAUUUUGUUAUUUAGUUGAUAAGGUAGGUUAUCAGUUUUCUAAUUAUAUUAAGAGUUUCUUAUAUAAGAAUUCUUAAAUUUUGAGGAGACUCAAUUGUAAAUGAAUCUCUCCUUCCAUUCCAAUGCUUAUAUAAGAAGAGGACUGUCUGUACUUGUAUUAUGUUCAAAUUAUUUUAGAUAGUACUCUUUAGCCUUUUCUAGUUUUUACAAGAUUAAACUUCAAUUGCUACAAUAGUGAGAUAAUAUGCCAUCCUUAGAUAUUACACCGUUUACAAACCUUGAUUACUAAAAAUAGUCAAAAGACUAAAAAUUCAACAACAAACAUCGUCUAUAAUUCAAACGAAGCUUAAAUCACUAUAUUUUGUUUUGCAUAAAUGCAAAAACUGAGCGCAAUCAUAAAACAUUCACGAUACAUAAAAACCCAAGUACACCAAAAAAAGGACAAACCUUUUGAAACUAACAUCUACAAACUAACAUUGUAUAAAUUCAGGGACACAGGAAUAUUAUGUAAAAGCAUAAACCCUAACUCUUUCAAAUAUGUAUUUGCUAAUUUCUCCCAGUGUUGUGUCGGUAUUGAAAAGAUCAAUCAAAAUUGAACUGACCUUAGUAAUCAGAGGGUUCUAAGUGAGAGAGGCAGCCGAUUGAGCGAGAGUAGAGAAACGAUUGACUGAAGAGGUCAGGAAGAGGUGAGGGGAAGAGAAGGGAAGAAAGGAGACUGAGAGGCUUUUAUACUUCUAUUAUUUGUCUUGGAUCCCACCUCAAAUAUUUCCUAAUAAAUAAAUUUUGAAAUUAAAGAUACUUUUAGAAAUUUAGCCCCUUCUGAGCUUCAUUCUUCUGAGAAAAUAUAUUUUUAAAUAAUAUUUUAACAUUAUUUUAAUUACAUGUUUUUUAAUAAAAUAAUAUUAAAUACAAAUUUAAAAUUUUUCUUAUUUUAUAACUAUAUAUUUUUUAUCAAUAUAUUAUUCAAAAAUACAUUUUUAUAAAACGAAAGGACUCAAACAAGGGUUUAAUUUAAGGAAAAAAAGUAAGAAGCAAAAGUUCCAAAAUAAUUUGUAUAGAAGAAAUACAAGGAAUUUGCCUGAGCUUUGACAGCUCGGUGUACAACCCUCUCGCAAAAGAAGGGGGUAGACAUCCAAUAAAAAAAUCACGACCCCUCUCUUGUGAGAGGGACUGUAUACCAAGCUAUGUACAAGUAGCAGGACCAAAAAUACAAAGGCCGUGCUCACUAUAAGCGGGCCAUCAAAUUUGUUUGAAGACCUUAAAAAACCGGGCCCAACAUGAGCUAACACAAAUUUGGGCUUCUUAGAAUUAGAGAUAAAACAUCUCUCAAUCUUGACUCCGAGAAUCCUAGCUUAUUUGUUUUUCCAACCAUGCUACUUAUACAAUAUUUUUACAAUCUUAAUUAACAACAUACACUUGACAACAUUAUCUUCAUCUAUUUUAGAAAUUAUUUUUCAAAUCAAUGGUCCAAAUCUUGACAACAUCAAUUUUGUCAAUCACAAUUAUCAACAAUAAUUAUACAAAUAGCUUUAUUCUUGUUUCUCACCCUUAAAUUGAUGCCUUGUUUGCAUCCGUACCGAAGAAUAGUUUUAUCAAGUCCUUGUUUGAAUCCCAUUUUAGAAAAAUAUACAUUUUGAAAUGGUGAUUUUUUUAAAAAAAAAAUUUUGGAGAAUAUAUGAUCAAAAAAUAAGGAAAAAUUUUCAAUAUACGUGUAAAAUUAGUUCAUUGAGGAAUGUUUGGUUGAAAAUGAAUUUUGAAAAAAUGGAAACCAAUAGAAUUCUGUAUUUAUUAAUAUGUAAAUAUAAAACAACCGUUAUUAAUUUAUCAAAUAAAGGCUAGUGAUUGUAACAAACAUCAUGUUUUUGUGUGCAAGGUAAUGUAUAAACUUUACGCUGCAAAGUAGCCAUGCCCGGCUCAAGGCCGGGAUUUAAAUAUGCUCAUAGACGGGGGACGGCGCCUCCAUUUCCAUAGUUCGGUGAAAUAACAAAUAGUAGUGCUAUAACAAUUGACCGCUGAACAUUAUUGCAGUGAGACCAUUAUCAUUGUCUAACAAAGUUACGACGCAUUUCAUUCAUCUGAUACGUUCAAAGUGACCCAAUUCACAUAAAACACAAGCCUCACUUCGAAUUAUAGUACAGCUGGAGCUGUGAAGCAAUAUCCAAGUUCAAAAAACAAUUUUCCUAGUUAGGGACUAACUGUUCAACUAUAAUUAAAAGGUAAAUGGCCAACUCGCCAAGUUUUAAUUGCUACAUAAGCAAUAACUUGGAGACCAGCGAGUGCAAUUUUUCCUGCUUGAAAAUAGGGAAUUAUGAAUAUAAAAAAAUUCAAAACUAAGGUAAGGCUAAAUAUACCCGGUCAUUCCUACUAUUAAUCAGAGUCCUAAUACGCAUAUUCCUUAAUUACUUUCAACAACAUCCUACUUACUACAAGUUUCAACAAUUCAGAAAUACAGCCUGCCUUUGAUGAAGAUCAGUAAUUGAGGAGGAUUUAACACACACAUAAAGCUACUAUUAAAAGUUAGUGAUUACAGACAACAUUAAAAAGACAUUUGGAUUAAGUCAUCAUAUCAGUUGUUACCAUCCAGUUAUGUCCAUCAGUAGUAAGCUUGUGGGUAGGCAGGUGCCAUUCCAUUGCCAUAGCCUCCAUAUGAAAUGUAGUUCACCGGGGUGCCUGGAUAUGUCCCGACAAGGGUAGGAGGGGUGGCUUCUGGGGAGUAUACAUAAGAGGGACUCCGGCUUCCAUGCCCAUACAUGGCAGGUGACGUGGGGUAUUGGGGAACGGGAGACGGGUAUUGGGUGUGUGAAGGAGACCUGAUAAACGUAGGAGGCGGCGGGAAAGAGGAGACAUAGGCAUUUGUUGAACGGCCUGCCUUGGCAGGAGGCAUUGGGCCUCCAUUGCUAGCUCGUGUUCUUUUGGCUGCAGGGGGAAGAGGGACUCCGGCUUCCAUGCCCAUACAUGGCAGGUGACGUGGGGUAUUGGGGAACGGGAGACGGGUAUUGGGUGUGUGAAGGAGACCUGAUAAACGUAGGAGGCGGCGGGAAAGAGGAGACAUAGGCAUUUGUUGAACGGCCUGCCUUGGCAGGAGGCAUUGGGCCUCCAUUGCUAGCUCGUGUUCUUUUGGCUGCAGGGGGACUUGCAGAUGGCUUCUUUUUCUCACUCUUGGUCUUCUCGAGUUGUUCGAGGCGCUUCUUCAGAUUUUCG
rnacentral:lncRNA from 1 species